rnacentral:ncRNA from 1 species
CCUUGCUCCAUGUUCGUCGGCGUUGCCGACACAUGCCCUGGCAGCCGAGACCUUCAAGGCUGCAAGUGCGGGAAACCGUGCUGGUCGUUUCUUCCUAUGGACGUACCCCGUCCGUUCACGCCACCCACAAGGGACCUCUCCCUUG